AGUUGUAAAGCCGACAAGGUAAUUAAAAUGGUAGACCAAUGUAAUUAAGAAGGAAAAAAUAUUAUAUUUCCUUUUUGACAGACAAACAGAAACUUUCUGUCUGAUAUAAGUACUGUAGCUCUUCCUGAUAAAGAUGUAGUUUAUAUGGUUUUAUAAACUGCUAGUAUUAAAGGUACAAUAUGUACGUUUUCGCCGCUAGGGGGCGCAUAUUCAAAACAAACAAAGAACCAAAGGUGUAGUUUGAUGAGGCCAUGAUAGAGUGUGGAAUCAUGGGAGUUGUUAUCUACAUCUAGAUGGGUAGGGCUAAAAGUCAUGAAAGCAAAAUAAGGAUGCAAGAGCGAUCACUAAUGAAGGACAAGUGUGAUACAUGGCUCGAAAGCAGUGGAGCUUUAAUUAUGCUACAGUCGAUCACUUCCACUUUUUUUCAGUCAUGCAUACUGUAUGUAGGAAAAGCAGCACUGUUUUAUCAUACCAGAUACAUUUCAGUGUGUUGAAAGUUCUCUAAUAAUGCUACUCUGUGUGUUCAUCACCUGUCUAAUAAAAUUGCAUAACAUAUUGAAGUGUCUUUGGUGUUUCCGUGUUUUCUAAAAAAUAAAACCGGAAAAUUGAGGCUGCAUGAUGUCAUUGGCUGGUGAUGCAAUGACACAGCUUAUUACACAGGUUAAUAUUGCUUAUUUCUCUGGAUUUAAACAUUUGAAACAUUUGGGAUAAUGACAAGUCAGCAAAAUAUAUAACACUGUUUUAGCGGUUUUUGGAUAUUUUAAUUAAAAAAAAAUCUUCUGCUUUUAAAGAGAGACUGUUAGUAUCAAGCAGACAGAAAAAGAACAUUGCAGCAGCACUUACAGAUUGCCUGAAAUAUAUUUAAAGUAUCAAAUAAUGGAAAGAUAGCAGCAUAAUUUAUGAAAAAGGACAGAUAACCAGGCCCAGUAAUCAUAUUAGAUACAAUCAUAUACAUUUCUUCAAGUAACUUCAAGUUUUUUGUUUGUUUUUUUUUCAAGUAACUUUGUUUUCACAGCUCUCCUGUGACAGCUGAGAGAGAUUGGGAGUAAGUGCAUGGGAAGUACACACUGAUGCUGGACAAUAAACUAUUUUGAAAGUAACUUUCCCAGUCUGUCUGAAAACCCAACCCCCCUCCUUUUGAAAAGCCCAGAAUAUUCUGAUUGACCAACAAACCCAGUGCGCUGUGAUUGGCCAGACAGUUCAAGCAUGUUUUGGAAAUAUAAUGUCCCUUACCACAAUCCAAGCUUCAGCUUCCAGGACUUCUAAAGGCCCCAGUAUACUCAAAACAAAAUAAUUGGUAUACUGUAAGCGAACAUCCCAACGUCGCCUAUUCUGAUUAAAGCAACGUUUAAAUGAAUAUGUGCUGUUCACUUUCCUCUCAUUAACAAUAUACAUGCAACAAAAAUGAAGAAAACUUCAAGGACAGACAAAAUGAGCCCAGAGAAGAGUUCCGCGUGAAAGAAGGUGGAGCUUUAGCACACACCCCCUAUGAUGUAAUCGUCACAAACUUUUAGCGGAACAAACUUUUCCAGAAAGUUUGCUUUGGCAAGUCGUUUCAAACUCCCAGAAUGAACUUUGUUUUGGCCAGAUUUUUUUUUUCAAAAUUAUAUUGCAUCAGUUCGUUCUGUGAUUUUGUUUGAAGUAUAUUGGGGCCUUAAAGUAACUACAAACAGUUAAUCCGUAAAAUGCAUUGUAUGCAAGCUAACUUUUGGGUUGUACUGCAAACACAUUACAAACUAAAGAAAAAGGAAAACAAGAAAAAGUCUCAUGUGACCCCUUUAAACUAUACUCGGCAGAUUUGGUUUGAUUAAAAAAGCUCUGCUACUGAGGUUCUUUUAAAUAAGUAUGCUGGUGCACACCAAACAAGUGUAACCCUUUUUCACCCUUUUAGAGGCCACAGCCUCUAGCAUCAAAAGCUAGUGCUUGAGGCCAGUGAUGUUUUACUUGUGCAGCUCUUUACUAGCUGGCCUUUGUUACACCAGCCAACCUCAGCCAGAAUUCCAGAGGGUCUCUGUCUGCUUCAAAAUUAACUCUGGUAUAGUUCGACAGAAAUAUGAAUGCAGCAUGGACAAAAGACGUCAAAGCAAACUAAAAACAGGAUGUGAUGUCACAAGAUCUGGUCAAGCAUGCAUUGUUUUUCUCAUUGUGUUGCUAAUUGCAGUUUGGUACAGUCAUGAGAACCACAUCUUCUGCAUUUAAACUGCAUUUUGGAAGUUCAAACUCGCAGGCACCAUAUAUAAGUCCACUAUAUGGAGAAAUGUUCCUGAAAUGUUUUCCUCAAAAAACAUAAUUUCUUUACGAAUGAAGAAAGAAAGACCUGCAUAUCUUAGAUAAUAAUGGGGUGUGUAAAUUAGUGAGUCAUGGGUGUGGAAAACUGGAUGGCAGUACGCUGAAAGAAAGGGAUUGGGUCAGAUAUAAUUCUUUGACCACUUCAUAUGUUUUGCACAUUUGUUGAAAAAAAGAAACAGCUGCUUCUAUUAUGCCAUUUUAAAGGUUGCUAAUAUUGUUUUAUGAGUCUCCCUAAAACAGGUUUACAUGUAUGCAACGUCAAAAAACACUUUAGUUUUCUCCAAAAAUAGAUUUAUUUUACCUGAUUUCUAACUGAUUCGUAAAUGACUUGUGCGAAUUAGUUUGAAGAAUCAGUCUCUCUAAACCCCUCCUUUCUUCGAGCCCUCACUGCUCUGAUUGGUCAGAUGGCGCAGUCCUUUAUGAUUGGUUUACCAUGUACAGCACGUGUCGGAGAACGAAACGCCCAUUGCCAUAACUGAAUGACAGCCCUGGAGACUUGUCAAUACAUAGUAAAGUUGGCAUCAAUUUUACCUUACCAAUUCAAACCAGAGUCUGAUGAUGAAACGGUUGAAGUGGCUGAUCAACAGUUCAGCAAGGACUACCAUGGAAAGUGCUCGCAAUUUGCUUAUAUAAGCGAACCGGGCAAACCUCUAUGUUGUAAACUUCAACAUUGUAUGAUGCAUUAAGCGGCUUUCACAGAACGCAGAAAGCACUUUGCUGGCCGCUGGGUUCAGUGCAGCCCUUCAGAGCGCUACGGCAAAAGUUCAACUAAUUUGAACUUUGAGCAUGGUGUUCGUGGGUUGUGCACCAGUGGUGUGCUCCGCUGCAUGUGUGCUUUGGUUGACGCAGAAACAAGCCAUCCUCGCAUUUCUGCAUUCCGUGUGAAAGCCGCUUCGUGUGCCAUCCUUUAUCAUUACUUCAACUAAUAAGAAAGACUGCAUCAAUCACAUUUUUUUAGACUACAGUGGGUCCACAGCUUAACAACAGAACUACAGAACUGUUUGUGCAGGCAUGUGCAGGGUUGUUACACAGCAUAACAUACGCAACUACAUAUUUUGAAUGAUUGCUAGAAAAUACAAUAUUUGUAGACUCAUUUUUUGGAAGUGAAUAUAAAACAAAUUUACUCACAGCACAGGAUACAGCAUCUUCUCGACAUAAACCACAUGAAAAUUUUACUCUGUGGACAGGCAUAUUAGUUGUGACGUAGAACGUGGGCAGGCAUUAUGCAAAUGUGUUACUUUGUAACCUAUAGCUGUAACAGAAUAAGAUUAGAAUUCCUGAUGACUCAUUCAGGCGAUUGUGACUUUUUUUUUUUUUUUUUUGAUAGACAAUAACUUCAUUUUGCAAGUUCACACUUGCAUAUAAUAAACUGAGUAAAGGUUAUGCGUAUUUGCUAUUUAAUAACACGCCUAUGUUUUAUGUAAGUUUCUUGUUGUACGGAUAAGCAAUUGACCGAAUUGCGCUAGUGAAAUUGAAAGUAAAAGGAAAAUGUGCACGGGCAUUUAUAAGCUAUUUAAACAGCUAUAUAUACAGUAUAUAUAUAUAUAUAUAUAUAUAUAUAUAUAUAUAUCUGUAUAUUUAUUCCUUACAAUUUAUUAUAUAGGUCUUUAUGCAUGUACUAUGUGCUCAUAUUUAUUGACAAUUGUCUUUAUGAUUGUUACAACUAAUGCUGUAUGACAUGAAAUAUCCUGAGUGGACGGUAUGGUGUUGCGUGGUCCAGGGUUACUAUGGUAACGGAAAGCCGCAAGGAAGAGACUGUCAUUACUAGAGCGGCUCAGCUUUGAAAAACAACGCAACUUUGACCAUCUCAUUAUUUCUGUCACAUAGGUGGGUAAAUUCUGUCAAAAAGUUCAUACAUUGUCAAGAGAAUAUGUUACUAAAGUGUUUCUAGCAGUUACCUGAGUUAAAGUGCGGUUUAAGAGUUAAUUAAUAGCGGAGAUUGUAUACGCUCAUCAUAACGGCCAUUAACGGUCCGGGUGUGUUAUAUAUUAAUUUUAAGGUAACAAAAAUGCUUCAGCACGCUGAAAUCCCAUACUACUGUUACGUUUUUUUGUAUUAAAGUUUACAAAAGGGAUAUUACUAAUUAUUUCGUUUUGUAUGAAUACAGUAUUGGUUACAAAUAUUUGUAAAACUCAUCAAAUGUAGUUGUUUAUUUUUGUAUUACGGAGAGCUAGCUCAGUUCAAACGAAUUAUACUUCGAUUAAUACAUUUAAUGUUUAUAUGGACGUUUGGUCAAAUGCUUAAUUUAUAUGAAGCUUACAGAAACAGUCUAAUGGUUAUAUCAGUUUAUGUGGAAUAAGUAUUAAUUAGAUUCCACUAAUAUGUUUUAUGGAUGUACUGAAUAAAAAGUGAAAGCAUAAAGAAAGAGCCAAGACAAGGGUUUGGUUAUGCAGAAAACACUGUUUAUUGAUUUUGCUGAAUCAAGACUUCAAGAAUCAUUAUUGCUGUAUGGGGAUAUUAGUGAAGUUACAAGACAUUGUGGUUAAAUGAUUGUAAUAAAGUCAUUACUAGACCGGCUCAGCUUCGAAAAACAACACAACUUUGACCGUCUCAUUAUUUCUGUCACAUAGAUUUCACUGCAGUACUGCCCACUGGACAGUGGGCGUGCUACAGAUUUUUGGGGGCUCGUCCGGGAUCUAGCGCCAUGGUACGCAGAUCCGAUACAACUGAACCACAGAACGGCCGAGUGACGGGUUAUCAGUGUGAGGACCACGGAAGGGCAGCUCAGCAGCGACAGGAGAACCAAGGCACGGCAGUGAAGGAGUUUCCUGGCUGAGGAGAAGCGGUGCAGCGUGGUGCGAGCCAAAACGUGAUUGCCGCUGUACUGUGAAUCUCAAGCAUACCUGCAUUCUUAUCAUGGGUGAUGGGCAGUUCAAGAUUGCUGUCGUUCAAGAAGUUAAUGACCACUGUUGCUGUUGCGAGCUACAAAUACCCAGGCGGCACUUACAUUGGAAUUCAUACAGAAAGUUUUCUUGUGAAGAAAUCCUAAAUGAGGGUUGAGAUGAAGGCAACCAGGUGAUGGGCAGUUCAAGAUUGCUGUCGUUCGAGAACGGUUGCGGUUGUGAGCUACAAAAUACCCAGAGGAGGCGGCACUUACUCUGGAGUUCAUACAGAAAGUUUCCUGUGAAGAAAUCCUAAAUGAGGGUUGAGAUGAAGGCAACCAGAAUUUUCCUGUGAAGAAAUCCUGAACGUGGUUUGAGAUGAAGGCAACCAAGUGGCUAUGCAUUCCUCCAAGACUCUUGCAUGAAUAAUUUCGAAAAUCCAUAUGAGUUUUUAAAUUGAAAAAAAUGGCACUUGCAUUAAACAUGCAGUUAAAUGGGAAAUAAUACAUCCCCUAUAAUGAAUUGCAUCACUUCAAUGAUAUUUCUGUUACAGUGAACUUCAAAAUUCUGUUGUCAAGCCACUGGAGUCACAUACUUUAUACUUUUCUGGACUUUGAAAAUGGUAGUUGCAUAGACAAUCAACAGAGGGACAAAAAAGUACCCAGAUUUAACUAAAAAUAAUUUUAAUUUGUGUUCUAAAAAUGAAUGAAAGUCUUAUGGGUUUGGAAUGGUAUGAGGCUGAGUAAUUGACUGAAUUAACAUGUUUGUGUGAACUAUAACUCUAAACAAUAUUGUUUUCUCUUAUAAGAAAAAAAAAAGUUUUGAAUCUUGACUGUUUUACAGUUUGAAGUUUAAAUUUUGUGACCACUUUUUAGUACAACACCUGUAUUGUACGGAUGCUCAUGUUUUCUUUUUGUUUUCUUUUUGACAGAAAAUUCUGUCUGUUACUGUUUAAAGCUAAACUGUCUUUUACAAUACAGGCAUUUUGCCUGAGUUGACACAUUGUUAAAUGAAUUGAGUAUUUGAUGUUGUUUAGUCCUAACCCACUUAAGGCAAACAAAAGCCAUUGAAUGCACUUUUAAGAAUGUUUAAAUGAAGUAAAA